rnacentral:rRNA from 1 species
CGGGGUUGCGGACAGUGUCUGGUGGGUAGUUUGACUGGGGCGGUCUCCUCCCAAAGAGUAACGGAGGAGCACGAAGGUUAGCUAAUCCUGGUCGGACAUCAGGAGGUUAGUGCAAUGGCAUAAGCUAGCUUGACUGCGAGCGUGACGGCGCGAGCAGGUGCGAAAGCAGGUCAUAGUGAUCCGGUGGUUCUGAAUGGAAGGGCCAUCGCUCAACGGAUAAAAGGUACUCCGGGGAUAACAGGCUGAUACCGCCCAAGAGUUCAUAUCGACGGCGGUGUUUGGCACCUCGAUGUCGGCUCAUCACAUCCUGGGGCUGAAGUAGGUCCCAAGGGUAUGGCUGUUCGCCAUUUAAAGUGGUACGCGAGCUGGGUUUAGAACGUCGUGAGACAGUUCGGUCCCUAUCUGCCGUGGGCGCUGGAGAAUUGAGGGGGGCUGCUCCUAGUACGAGAGGACCGGAGUGGACGCAUCACUGGUGUUCGGGUUGUCAUGCCAAUGGCACUGCCCGGUAGCUAAAUGCGGAAGAGAUAAGUGCUGAAAGCAUCUAAGCACGAAACUUGCCCCGAGAUGAGUUCUCCCUGAGACUUUAAGUCUCCUGAAGGAACGUUGAAGACGACGACGUUGAUAGGCCGGGUGUGUAAGCGCAGCGAUGCGUUGAGCUAACCGGUACUAAUGAACCGUGAGGCUUAACCUUACAACGCCGAAGCUGUU